rnacentral:rRNA from 1 species
CACCAGACUCCUACGGGAGGCAGCAGUGGGGAAUAUUGCACAAUGGGGGAAACCCUGAUGCAGCGACGCCGCGUGAGCGAUGAAGUAUUUCGGUAUGUAAAGCUCUAUCAGCAGGGAAGAAAAUGACGGUACCUGACUAAGAAGCCCCGGCUAACUACGUGCCAGCAGCCGCGGUAAUACGUAGGGGGCAAGCGUUAUCCGGAUUGACUGGGUGUAAAGGGAGCGUAGACGGUCCUGCAAGCCAGAUGUGAAAGCCCGGGGCUCAACCCCGGGACUGCAUUUGGAACUGUAAGGCUAGAGUGUCGGAGAGGCAGGCGGAAUUCCUAGUGUAGCGGUGAAAUGCGUAGAUAUUAGGAGGAACACCAGUGGCGAAGGCGGCUUACUGGACUGUAACUGACGUUGAGGCUCGAAAGCGUGGGGAGCAAACAGGAUUAGAUACCCUGGUAGA